AGUGAACGCUGGCGGUAGGCCUAACACAUGCAAGUCGAACGGCAGCACAGUAGGAGCUUGCUCUUACGGGUGGCGAGUGGCGGACGGGUGAGGAAUACAUCGGAAUCUACUUUUUCGUGGGGGAUUACGUAGGGAAACUUACGCUAAUACCGCAUACGACCUACGGGUGAAAGCAGGGGAUCUUCGGACCUUGCGCGACUGAAUGAGCCGAUGUCGGAUUAGCUAGUUGGCGGGGUAAAGGCCCACCAAGGCGACGAUCCGUAGCUGGUCUGAGAGGAUGAUCAGCCACACUGGAACUGAGACACGGUCCAGACUCCUACGGGAGGCAGCAGUGGGGAAUAUUGGACAAUGGGCGCAAGCCUGAUGGAGCCAUACCGCGUGGGUGAAGAAGGCCUUCGGGUUGUAAAGCUCUUUUGUUGGGAAAGAAAAGCAGCAGGUUAAUACACCGAUGUUCUGACGGUACCCAAAGAAUAAGCAACGGCUAACUUCGUG
rnacentral:rRNA from 1 species